AAAUUUUCUAAAUGGCGCAUGCACCCAGCAGCUCAGCUGUGUGUGGUGUGGCUGUGUUGGCUGUGUGUUUCACGACUCAUCCGCGAAAUGAAAUAAUGCAUUUUAUUCGAUUCUUUAUUGAAUUAACCAAGUGCUGCACCUUGACAAAGUGAUAUUGGAAACAUGGGCCUGCAACAGAUGUAGCAGCUGUAACUUAUCGGAGAUUCAGCAUUGCUCAUAAAAGGAAGGAAGAAACUUUACUAGCUUUAAUGACCUCGCAGACGUGACCGUGGUUGUGAACACUUGGCUGUAGAUUUAGGUUCAUAAAAUGGAGAGUGUCAGAGAUGAGGAUAGGCGAAGGCGCCUGAGACACCUUGAAGAACGGAUAAAAGAUCCACGCAGUAUAACCAAUAUCGAUUGUCUAUUAGACACUGUACAGGCCCUCGCCUCUGAUUGUGAUCACCCUAGCGUCAGACGUAUGAAAAACGUUGAGGCUUACAUGAACAGAUAUGAUUCCGUUGCCCGUGAUAUCUGUAAAAUGCGAAUGCGUACCGAUGAUUUUACACAAAUAAAAGUUAUUGGACGUGGGGCAUUUGGAGAAGUUCAAUUAGUCAGGCAUAAGUCUACACAAAAAGUAUAUGCCAUGAAACUGCUCAGCAAAUUUGAAAUGAUCAAGAGAUCGGAUUCAGCAUUUUUUUGGGAGGAGAGAGAUAUUAUGGCGCACGCUAACUCCCAGUGGAUUGUUCAACUGCAUUUUGCCUUUCAAGAUAACAAGUACCUCUACAUGGUCAUGGAUUAUAUGCCGGGUGGCGACCUGGUCAAUCUCAUGUCAAACUACGAUGUGCCUGAAAAAUGGGCAAAGUUUUAUUGUGCCGAAGUCGUUCUUGCCCUAGACGCUAUACAUUUAAUGGGAUUCGUUCAUAGAGAUGUUAAGCCUGACAACAUGUUACUGGACAAACAUGGGCAUUUAAAAUUGGCUGACUUUGGGACCUGUAUGAGAAUGGAUGCGGAUGGACUUGUGAGAUCCGACACAGCUGUUGGUACACCGGAUUAUAUAUCUCCAGAAGUUCUUCAAUCUCAGGGAGGUGAAGGAGUUUAUGGUAGGGAAUGUGAUUGGUGGUCAGUUGGAGUUUUUCUGUACGAAAUGCUCGUCGGGGAUGCACCAUUCUACGCUGACUCCUUAGUUGGAACCUAUUCAAAGAUUAUGGAUCACAGGAAUUCUUUGCACUUUCCACAACAAGAAGUAGAUAUAUCCCAUGCGGCGAAGAGUUUAAUCUGUAAUUUUUUGACGGAUCGUACAAAAAGAUUAGGAAGAAAUGGCGUUAACGAAAUCAAAAGCCAUGCAUUUUUCAAGAAUGACCAGUGGACCUUUGAUAAUUUGAGAGAAUGCGUACCGCCAGUUGUACCAGAGCUUUCUGGUGAUGAUGAUACUAGCAAUUUUGACGAUGUUGACAAAGAAGAUGGACCAGAAGAAAGUUUUCCUGUUCCAAAAGCAUUUUCAGGAAAUCAUUUACCCUUUGUUGGAUUCACUUAUUCUGGAGAUUAUCAACUGAUGAGUAGCGGUGGGGGGGAAAGUGUCGAUGGGAUUGUUAAUCAUAUAAAUAAUGGUAUCAGUGAUGAUGUAAAAAUAUCUCAACUAGAAAAUUUAAUCGAACGUGAAAAACGGCAAGUUGAAACGCUAGAGGCCCGACAAAGAGGUCUGACAUCACAGCUGGAAGCGGUUACAAGGCGGGAAGCCGAAUUACAAGAAGAAACAGCGCGAGCAGAUAAAGAAUUAACACUGCUUAGACAUAACUUCAAAGAAACGCAACGCAGAUUAGAGCAUGAGGCUGAGGCGCGACGAAAAGUUGAAGCUGCUUUGAUCGAACUCAAGAAACAGUUUGAAGAAGAGCUGUUCAAAAAGGCAAGAGAUGCUACCAAUUCCCAUCAGACAUCUGAGAAAAUAAUAACUCUCGAGAAGCAAUUGAAAGAAAUGCAGGCAAAACUUGAGAGAGAAACUGAAAGUGCUGGUAGACUUAGGAAACAAGCCGCAGAAGUAACUGUUGCCAGACAAGCUGCUGAGCAAAUGACCAAUGAGCUCCAAGUUGCUAGAGCGCAGUUGCAAGCACAGAGAGAUUCGUUGCAGCAAGAAGUCGCUGCAUUACAGGGCCAACUUUCCAAAGAGCGUAGCUCUCGGUCUCAAGCGUCUUCCUUGACUGCUGAACUUGAGACACGAUUAUCUGGCUUACACGUUGAGUUGGAGCACAGCCGUCGACGGGAAGAAAAAGCAACUUCGGACAAUAGACAGUUAGGGGAGAGGGUAUCUUCUCUUGAAAAAGAAGCUGCAGGAUUGACUCUAGAAUUGAAAGCAGCUCAAGCAAGGUAUAAUCAGGAAGUAGCUGCACAUCAAGAAACCGAAAGAUCCCGGAUGCUCUCCAAAGAAGAAGCAAACAUGGAAGUCGUUAAAGCGAUCCAAGUUAAAUUGAAUGAGGAAAAAAGCGGAAGACAACGAGCAGAAUUGCUUGCUCAAGAAAAAGAAAGGCAAACCUCUAUGCUGUCCGUCGACUAUCGUCAAAUUCAGCAACGAUUACAAAAGCUGGAAGGAGAACACCGACAAGAAGUGGAGAAGGUUAAAGCAUUACAAGGCCAAGUUGAACAAGAGCAACAGAAAAGAAAUGUUCUGCAAACAGAGUUUGGCCAGCAAUCUUCGGAAGCUGGUAGACUGAGAGCUCGAGAACAACAAUUAGUCGGGGAAGUGGCUCACCUCAGGGAAGCUAAAAGACAAAUUGAAGAAGAACUACACCAUCUAAAAACUCAGCGAAGUGUGGAUUUGCUACAAAGUAAAGAAUUACAAGAACAGUUGGAAGCUGAGGCUUAUUUUUCAACACUUUACAAAACCCAGACUCAGGAGCUCAGGGAAGAACUAGAUGAUAAAACAAGACUCCAGCAGGAAUUAGAAGAGGAACGCUGCUCACUGGUUCAUCAGUUACAGCUUUCACUGGCUAGAGCUGAUAGUGAAGCAUUAGCUAGAUCGAUUGCUGAAGAGACGGUUGCGGACUUGGAGAAGGAAAGAACUAUGAAAGAAUUAGAGUAUAAAGAUAGCAUCACUAAGCAUCGACAGGAAUUAAAUUCUAAAGAACAGUCAAUAUUAGUGCUCAAGGACAACGAAAAUGAGAUGAAGAAAACCACUGAGUUGUAUUUGAAGGACAAAGAAGAUUUAAAUAAACGUCUGAAAGAUUUACAGGAACAACUUAACAAAGAACAUUGUAAUGUGGAAGAGAUAGAUCGACUCAGCGGUAAACUUAAAACAGAACAGCUGCUGAAACAGCAGGCGGUUAAUAAACUCGCUGAGAUAAUGAACAGAAAAGAUAUAUCAUCGGGCACUAAAACUAGAAACAAAGUUCCUUCUGCUGAUUUGCGAAAAAAAGAAAAAGACUGCCGCAAAUUGCAGCAGGAGCUCACCCAGGAGAGAGAAAAAUACAGUCAAUUAGCUGCUAAGUGGCAAAAGGAUCUCCAAGAUUUGCAGGCCCAGCUAGUUGAAGAGAAUCAAGCAAAACUGAGGCUGCAAAUGGAACUUGAUUCCAAAGAUUCUGAAAUAGAAACGCUACAAAUGAAAAUAGCCUCAAUAAAUUCAGAGACGGCUAGCCUUUCCUCGGCGGAAAAUGACGGGGAAGAUACAGUCCUAUCUGAACAUGGUGCCUUAAGAUUAGAGGGUUGGCUCAGCGUACCCAACAAACAGAAUAUUAAACGACAUGGUUGGAAGAAGCAAUACGUCGUUGUGUCGUCUAAGAAAAUAAUAUUUUACAACAGCGAAAACGACAAGAUGAACGCUGAUCCAAUACUGAUAUUAGAUUUAAGCAAAGUCUUCCACGUUCGAUCUGUGACCCAAGGAGACGUGAUUCGAGCCGAUGCCAAAGAUAUUCCAAGGAUAUUUCAAUUAUUGUACGCGGGAGAAGGAGAGGCGAGACGCCCAGGUGACGAGAGUAACGCGUUGCCAGGUGUAGAACUUCCACAAUUAAUGGAUAAGCCUGGUACUUUGUCAUUGAAAGGUCACGAGUUCAUUUCUAUAUCUUACCACAUGCCAACUACUUGUGAAGUUUGUACAAAGCCCUUAUGGCAUAUGUUCAGACCACCACCUGCUCAAGAGUGCAGAAGGUGUCGAAUCAAAGUGCACAAAGAGCAUUUGGAGAAGAAGGAAGACGCAAUUGCUCCAUGUAAAUUGCAUUACGAUCCUAAUAGCGCAAGAGAAUUGUUGGUCUUGGCAGGGAGCCCAGAUGACCAAAAAUAUUGGGUGACAAGGCUGUCAAGAAGGAUUCAAAAAUGUGGUUACAAAGCCAACUCACAUGUUGAUGGAACAGGGCAGCGUGUUUCUCCAAGGUAGCGUAGGUGGCCAGCGCAUCCGCGAACUUAGUAGCUCUUGUGUUGUGGCGUCGCAUGAAUGGGUGUAGAAAGGAGAGACACCAUUCCAUUACUCAACACGAGACUAUAGAUCUAACUACGAUGAUCACUACUAUCGGUAUACACUACGAAUGUAAAAUUGUUGUUAAUGUCUAAGUUUGAGAAUGCGUGAUAUUCAAAUAGGGCCUAGGCAAAACCUGUAGAAUACUACAAUACGUAUCCGUGUUAUGAAUGAUACGAAGUUUUAUUUGCACUAGGCGGAAGCUAAUUAAGAAAACGGACUUCCGCGAGUCCGAAUACAAGUUUUGUAUUGUAAACACCAAGGGCGAGGAAUCAACAAGAUUAGUUGUUAUCCUAAAUCGAACAAUAUUGGAAAAAAUCCGGGGUCUGAGUUCGGACCUAGAUUGAUUCCGUGUGAAAUAUCCUGCCACUAAAAUCGAAAGGCAGGGAAUUUUUUCAGAUGCACGAACGAACUUGGCUAUUUCUCAUCUCUGGUGCCUACAAUGAAAUACUUUGGUUUGCUUUUAUAGCCUCCGAAUUAUUUUUUCUCCUUGCUUCAGUUUCGGUUGCUUCUAUCCAUUGCGAAUAGACAUCUAAAGACAUCUAGCGAUACAUUCCCAAUUUUGAUUAACAAUCACUCUCUUUUGUUCAUCGAAUUAUUAUAGGCAUUUGUUUGUUUCAUUAAAUACCCAUAUGUAUAUUUACGAGGGACGUAAAAAUACAAGAGGGCAUUUUUCAGAAGCACGCAGAUAAUACAAUAGUCACUUGGUGACUAGCUCUCCAAUGAAUCCACUAGACUGUUGAAUAGUUUUCGAAUAUGAUUCAACUUUUUCCCAACCAACUCGUUAUGUCUGAGGGCUAUUUUUUUCAGCGUGCUUGUUUCUAAUAAAAGGGAAAAGGUAGCACGCUCAGAAAAUGCAUGUUUCAAAUAAUUGUGGACGGUGCUAUUUUUCUUAAGCCAUUUGCGGAAUCUACCUUUUAGAAACUGUAACGAAAAAUCAACGAAUUUAUCGGAAUACAGAAUAUUAGGGUUGCAAAACACUUUCUCUGCCAAGAUUAUUACAAACAAUGAAUGAUCACGAUUGCUCUCCAGACAUUUAGUUAAAUACUUCAGUUAUAGAUGCAGUUUUUUCAGAUGCUUUUCCGAGAUGUUUGCAAAUACUGAGAUUUUGAUCUGCAUUAGCAUGGUGUGGUUUUUUGUACAAUACGGGGUAGCCAUAAAAUCUGAAAUCAUACUUUUAAACAGACAGGGAUCAUUUUCAUUCUUCAUCAAUCAAUGCUAAAAAUCUUAGCUUUUAUGGCCACCUUUUACAAUACAUAUUAGUUAGAGGUCUGAUUCUCAUGGAUUAAAUUUGCUUGCUGCCCAAAGCCUCGCUUUGGUUCCAGCUUGAUGAAUAACAUUCAAUUCAAAUGCUUCCCAAAUUUUGAUUUUAGGGAAUCUACAAGAUCGACGCUAAAGCCUUACUUGUCGGUUCCACAACGAUCUGCUACUCUACCUGCCAACGCUGGUAUGGGCAAAUGAUCUUGAGUGUUUUCCACAACGAUUUAUCAAAAAUGAGAAAUUAAUCCUUUUUUCCUUUUUCUGUUCUUUAUGUAUGUACGCAAUCAUACAUAUUUACAUAUACAUGUAUGUAUAUUUUGGCCGCUUUUUUUCUGUAAAUAUGUCACAUACACAUUGUGUACCUAUAAUUUAAGUGUUCCCUGUAGGAUUAUUGCGCAUAUGAUUUCUUUUUUCUUUUGAAUCAACAAUUUGACAGCAGCUGCUAUCGAUGAAGGUUCUCUCACAAUAGUUCGAUUAUCCAAACAUAAAACCAUAAAAUAUUAGCAUUGAUAUAUUGCAUAAAUUUAUUGAUAUUUUAACAACGAAUACUUUUAUUCUCAUCGCCUAUUGCACUGAAUAACAUUCAUUAUAAUAGAAUCUCAAGAUCCAAAAAAGUUGAAGAAAAAAAUUUUCCUUGUCGACUCAGAACUGUAAUAUUGUAGAAAAUAUUUUUCCUAUUUCUUUGAAUGUUCGCCUGGCAAAAAUUUUGACUUACAUCCUAUCAUGUGAAAAUCAUCUUAAUGUGUGAUUCUCUACAAUAUUAACGUGUAAAUGAUAUGAAAAAAAAAAUAGGAAACAAGAGUUUGGUAAUACUUGAUACGAAGAAAAAAAAAAUAGUAAUAAUUGUUGGUGCGCAAACAAAUAAAACUAGCAGUCGGAAUCGCAUCAUUUUGAUAUCGUUGCCAAAGUAAAGUAACAACAAAAUCCUUAAAAACAAGAACAAACAGGUGAUUAUGAAAUAAACCGUUUUGCUGUUAGUAAAUAUAAUGUAAUGUACAUAUCCGUACAAAUAGUUAAUUAUUUAAUCAUUUUUGCCAUUACGCUGACCGACGAGCUGGGCACUGGAUCGAAAUAUAAUUAUAGAUUAUGCUUGAAAAAGUAAACUCAGAUAAUUUAUUCGCAGAUACAUCUCUGCAGUUAUUUGAACUUGAUUUUCCCUGUAUAUAAUUAGAAUGCUGACUGGGAACCUAGAUUUAUGUAUCAAAAGUUAACUACAUCAACUUUGAGUGCAUAAGACAACGAGAUUUGAGUAUGUGAAAAAAAAUUGUUUAUACUUUCAGGUAUUCUUUAUCAAAACUUCGAGUGUAAUUGAAUUAGCAUAUACAAAAAUAAGUAUUAUUAUGUUUUAUACAUUCUGUGAAUUAAAUAUUUAAUUUCUUACUUUACGAUGAUAAUUAUUAUACCUAAUGAUAAUAAAUUUAAGAAGAUCAUUCGCCCAGCUAGCCAUGGCGGCCGCCAAAGUUAACGCGAUUAAAAAUAACAAUAAAAAUAAAGAUACACUAACUUAAUUAACAGGUACUUAUCAAAAGAAAGAAAGAAAAAAACUAAUAAAUAAAAGUGCUAGGGAACAGCGCUAUGAGUGAGCUUCUUUGUAUAGUAGAUAUAUAAAUGAAUUGUAGAUUAAGGAUUUAUAAUGUAAUAUAAUAAUGUUAUUGUAAUAUUCGGGUAUAAAACGUGCAUAACUAAAGUUUACCACACUUCAAACAUCAGGUGAUUCUAUGUAAGAACGAUACUUAUUGUUUGUAACGCAAUUUCGUUCCACUCAUGAAUAACAUUGCCUGCAGUCUAUGUCGGAUAGAUUACGGGCCAAUCCUAAAGUCUAAUCAUUGUUAAUUGACAUAAUAAAAAUAUUGAAAGAUUAUUCUCUGUAGGAUUGACUGGUACAGUUUUUAGCAUUAAAACACCAGAAAUAUUUUCUGACCGUUUUAACUGUUUAUACAUUUACACGUAGUAGUCCGAUUAUUGGGUGAGGUAUACUACUAAUCUGAGCUUGCAUUAGAUCUACUCCACGGUGCUCCUUCCCUUUUCAGUCUGCCUUGGCCGUGAAAAAAUCAAAUCGACAGAGGCAGCUGAUUAGGACUUAAACCCAAAAAACUAAACUACUGCCCCGUGCCUUCCCUCCCAUUUGAAAUGAGUUUGAGGAGGAGAGAUGAAAAUAUUAAAACGAGAAACUUGUUACAGCAUAUUUUAUUAUUGUUUAGUUAUUUACAAUCUGUAUAUUACUAAUUAAUAUUACGAUUAAAACUAUUUUGUAGAUAA